UCCGGUGAUUAUUGCGAAAGGGACCCACCUGUUCUCAUCCCGAACACAGAAGUUAAGCCUUUUAGCGCCGACGGUACUUGGCUGGUGACGGCCCGGGAGAAUAGGACAUCGCCGGAU
rnacentral:rRNA from 1 species